rnacentral:rRNA from 1 species
GUAGGGAAUAUUGGGCAAUGGUCGGAAGACUGACCCAGCCAUGCCGCGUGCAGGAAGACGGCCCUCUGGGUUGUAAACUGCUUUUAUCUGGGAAGAAAAAGGCCAUGCGUGGCAAAUUGCCGGUACCAGAUGAAUAAGCACCGGCUAACUCCGUGCCAGCAGCCGCGGUAAUACGGAGGGUGCGAGCGUUGUCCGGAUUUAUUGGGUUUAAAGGGUGCGUAGGCGGCUGAUUAAGUCAGCGGUGAAAGACUUCGGCUUAACCGGAGCAGUGCCGUUGAUACUGGUUGACUUGAGUGUCGGAGGGGUACAUGGAAUUGAUGGUGUAGCGGUGAAAUGCAUAGAUACCAUCAGGAACACCGAUAGCGAAGGCAUUGUACUGGCCGACAACUGACGCUGAUGCACGAAAGUGUGGGGAUCGAACAGGAUUAGAUACCCCAGUAGUCC